CUAGCGCAGCCACACAGAGAGAAAGUAAGAGUGAAGAACUCAAAUCAUCAUCGCCACACCAUCCACCGUUGGCUCAAACCCAUCCACUAUUGUUGAAGAACUCAAGGUAUCAGUCUCAUCCAUCUCUUAUGUUUUCUUUCACUGUGUUACUUUUGGUUUAUCUUUUUUAUAUUUCAUCUUUUUCAUCUUCUACACACUCUCACUCUAUAUAGAAUAACAAUAAGAUAGGGUUUUUAUAUUUGUUAUUCUAGAUUCCUAUUCUAGUUGGUUUUUCAUGUUAUUAUUUGACUAUUAUUAUUAUUUUUUUAAUUAGGGUUUGAGUGUCUUCAAUCUCUCAGUUCCGUUUUCCAGAUCUGCGGUGAGACUUUCAAAUUAUUUUAUUAUUUAAAAUUGACUCUGUGACCUGGACCAUUUGAUCUCAAAUUAACAAGCGAGAUGAAUAAAGGAAACAUUUCAAUAACCAUAAACUUGUGUAAGUUCAAAUCUCGUCAUCAGAGUCCGAUCGAGGUAAAACACAAUUAUAUUUGAUCUAUUAUAAUUCUAAAGUUUUUAUUUCAAUCUUCUAUGAUAUACUCUCAUAAAUUCCUUCACAUGGAAAUGUUUUUUUUAUCAUUAAUUUGAUAAUUGAGUAACUGAGUUAGAGUUAAAAGGAGAUUAAACUUUCUUUUCGGUAUUUUCGGUAAAAAGAUUGAUUCAAUGAAUUUUUUUUUUGAAGAAUAUAAAUUAACCCACCCAAAUUGGCACCGGAGUGGGUUUGAAAAUUGAUGUUGUUAUUAUUAUUAUUAUUAUUAUUUUAUUAUUAUUAUAGAUCUGAAACAUUGUCUACCCACCAUAAUUAGGAAUAAGAUUUACAACUCCAGUCAUCUAAUUUAUAUUGAAGGCUGAGAUUAUUUAAUUGUAUGAAAUUACUUAUGUGAGCUAGACUGUUUGAUCUCAAAUUAACAACUGAUUUACUACUUUAUGAAUGUGUGUGAAAGUUUGACCGCAGUUGGUGAUCUCGAUACCCC
rnacentral:lncRNA from 1 species